rnacentral:lncRNA from 1 species
ACAUGUCAUUUUUCCCAGAUGAAAUCCGGUACUUUAUUUAUAUGCAAUCCAAUAUACCUACUAAUAAUUACAUAAGUCCUAACAUAGAAUAAAUCUAAAACAUGACUAAAACGUAAGUAGUUGUCAAACUAAGUACUAAACAAUACUUGGCCUAAAGCUACAUUAGUACACAAACUAGUACUAAUACUAACUAGUACUAAACAGAAAAGUAAGAAAAAGAAAGAAAAAAAACACACACACACGGCCACAAGGGCUAGCCUGAGGCAACCCAGCCAAUACGGCUUGGCUUUGCUCCACGUGAAACCAGCCCAGCCGUGGGGCCUUGGCUGUAGCCAGCAUAACGCAUCACCAUCACGAGAUAAGAGAGGGAGAGGGAGAGGGAUCGAGAGGAUAAGGCAGCC